GUGGAGUUGCGAAGACAACCAGGAGGUUGGCUUAGAAGCAGCCACCCUUGAAAGAGUGCGUAAUAGCUGACUGGUCAAGUGAUUCCGCGCCGAUAAUGUAGCGGGGCUCAAGCACACCGCCGAAGUUGCGUCAUUCAGAUAUUUACCCGGUUUCGAUUGGGUGUUUGGAUGGGUAGGGGAGCGUCGUGUGGACGGUGAAGUCGCGGUGUAAACCAGCGGUGGAGACCACACGAGUGAGAAUGCAGGCAUGAGUAGCGAAUGACGGGUGAGAAACCCGUCCGCCGAAUGAUCAAGGGUUCCAGGGUCAAGCUAAUCUGCCCUGGGUGAGUCGGGACCUAAGGCGAGGCCGACAGGCGUAGUCGAUGGACAACGGGUUGAUAUUCCCGUACCGGCGAAGAACCGCCCAUACUGAGCGAUUGAUGCUAACCAGUGUUGAGCAUGACUGUUGCGGCCUUCGGGUUGUUUGUUGUGUGAGGUGUUGGGAACCGAUGUUGUGAGGUCAGCGUAUUAACAGGUGUGACGCAGGAAGGUAGCCGAGCCAGGCAAUGGAAUUGACCUGGUCCAAGGGUGUAGGGCGAGUCAUAGGCAAAUCCGUGACUCAUAUAGCCUGAGACCUGAUAGGCGCCCACUUUGGUGGGUGAUUUGGUGAUCCUAUGCUGCCUAGAAAAGCAUCGGCGCGAGGUUCUAGUCGCCCGUACCCCAAACCGACACAGGUGAUCAGGUAGAGAAUACUAAGGCGAUCGAGAGAAUCAUGGUUAAGGAACUCGGCAAAAUGCCCCCGUAACUUCGGAAGAAGGGGGGCCUGCCCCGUGGAGAAGACUUGCUCUUCUUUUGCGGGUGUGGGCCGCAGAGACCAGGGGGAAGCGACUGUUUACUAAAAACACAGGUCCGUGCGAAGUCGCAAGACGAUGUAUACGGACUGACUCCUGCCCGGUGCUGGAAGGUUAAGAGGACCGGUUAGCAACUUGUUGCGAAGCUGAGAAUUUAAGCCCCAGUAAACGGCGGUGGUAACUAUAACCAUCCUAAGGUAGCGAAAUUCCUUGUCGGGUAAGUUCCG
rnacentral:rRNA from 1 species